UGGGGAAUAUUGCACAAUGGGGGAAACCCUGAUGCAGCGACGCCGCGUGAACGAAGAAGGUAUUCGUAUCGUAAAGUUCUGUCCUAUGGGAAGAUAAUGACAGUACCAUAGAAGAAAGCUCCGGCUAAAUACGUGCCAGCAGCCGCGGUAAUACGUAUGGAGCGAGCGUUGUCCGGAAUUAUUGGGCGUAAAGGGUACGCAGGCGGUUUAAUAUGUCGAAUGUUAAAGAUCGGGGCUCAACCCCGCAAAGCAUUGGAAACUGAUAAACUUGAGUAGUGGAGAGGAAAGUGGAAUUCCUAGUGUAGUGGUGAAAUACGUAGAUAUUAGGAGGAAUACCAGUAGCGAAGGCGACUUUCUGGACACAAACUGACGCUGAGGUACGAAAGCGUGGGGAGCAAACAGG
rnacentral:rRNA from 1 species